ACGUUAAACAGGAUUUUGAUAUUUUGACUGAGGGAGAGGAGACACUCUAAAACAGUGGUUAUAUUGGAUUAUUUACAUUGUUGGGCAGCAGGGUGGAACAGGGGUUAGUGCAUGUGCCUCACAAUACAAAGGUCCUGAGUAGUCCUCGGUUCGAUAUUGCGCUCUGGAUAUUUCUGUGUGGAGUUUGCAUGUUCUCCCCGUGACUGCGUGGGCUCCCUCUGGUUACUCAAAUGUUCCAUCAAAGACGGUCACCUGCUACCCAAACAACAAGCCGUGAGUGACCAAAGACAUCAAAGCCAUACUGAAUGAGAAGAAGAGGGCCUUCAAUGCUGGUAACAGGGAGGAGGUGAAAAGAGUUCAGGUGCUGCUGUCCAAACUGAGGGAGGCCAAGGAGAACUACAGGAGGAAGCUGGAAGGGAAGCUAAUGGAUAACAACAUGAAGGCGGUCUGGAGAGAGUCCACUAACAUCGUUGUCAGAAGCAGUACUGGAUGGAAAUAGUGCUUCAUAGGCUGGUGGGGGCUCCAAAAGUUGAGGUGUGCUGCUCCAGGUAGGGUGGUUGGGGUUUCCUGAUGCCUCGCCCUCAAAAGCUGCAGAAGACUGUUGUGGAACGCCAGGCAGGACAAUUAAUGGUAUCGUGAUACCAUGGUCUUCGGUGUAUUUCAUAUCCAGAUAGACCUGCCAAAAAUAACUGUGUUAAACCAGUUUCCAUACACAUAGGGCCUGAGCUAGCAAAGUUUUGUGUGUACUAAAACACGUGCAAACUUGAUAGCGCAUACAAAGCUGAACUACUAACCUUGUGCGUCUGCUAACUGAGCAAAAUAGGUUGUGCGAUUUAUUUAACUUGUAUUUUUUCUAUAUAUAUAUACAGCCAAAAGAGGUUAGUAGAUGACAAUAAAUGUAAAAGUUAACUAUAGUGUAGAAAUGCACCCAGAUGCAGGAAAUGUAGUCUUCAUUUUCAAAAUGUUCUUUCGGGGCUUGCAUGGAAGCACUUUGUGCUGAUUUAAAUGUGUUUUUCCUCAUCAGUUGUUCCUCUUUUUCUCUCAAAGGGUGCUCAAUGCCUGAGUCUUUGUAGAUCACCCGCAAAAAACAAACCAUACCAAUGGUACACACAUUUUUUCAGUUUGCACACAAUAUAUAUUAUAAUGUUAUUAAAUCAAUGUGAUUUAAAAAGAGUGUUAAUUUAGUUUCUUGUUGUGUUUAUGCAUUUUUGUAUAUUUUUUUUUUCUCAGGCAAAUCAUAUACAGUAGUAGAUGCCCAUAUCAGCUGUUCAGAUUUACUUUACACAAGAGAAGUGUGGGAUACUUCUCAUGUUGCCUUAUUUGUAUUUAACUUUAAUUAAAUGUAUUUAUAUUAUCAUUUGGGGCAGCCGGGCCGGAGCAGGAGGGGAUAGAAAGAGAAAAAAGGAAGACAGAGAGAGAAAUUGUGGGGACAAGACAGAGAGACAAAAACAAAAACAGCAAACACAACAACAACUAUAAUAGAGCAUCAUCAGUAAAUACGAUAUGUACAAAUUUGGUGGUAAAAGUGAUAGCUUUAUGAAUUUUAGACUUCAUUCAUGCAUCGUCACUUAUACUAAAGUCACAUUAAAUUCACAUUCUUGCAGUAGAAUGACUUUUAAACCUUGCCUUUGAACAGCACAGGGCGUGGCUCGGAAAUAUGAUUGAACCUGAUGAACUCUGUUUAAUGGCAACACAAAUGUGUGAUGAAUACCAUGAAUUGAUUAACGUGGACCUCGACUUAAACAAGUUGAAAAACUUAUUCAGGUGCUACCAUUUAGUGGUCAAUUGUACGGAAUAUGUACUGUACUGUGCAAUCUACUGAUAAAACUUUCAAUCAAUCAAUCAAUCAAUGAUAGGAGCAUGAAACAUAAUCCAUUCAUUGGAGCUGCAGUAUAGUUUUCAUUCACAAAAAUAGCUACCUUUUUAUUUUAGCUGUACAUUUAUGAGAAUGGAAGCGAUUCCUUACAUUUUGAAAAGUACAUCAUAAAUUAACCAAAUAUUUCCUAAUAUCGUACAUAAAGAUUGCCAUUCUGUACCUAAAUUAUGCAUAUAUUCACAUAGGUUUGUAUGGUAUACCGGUACUAGUGUAGUAUUGCGGUAUUAAUGAAUCAAAAAGGGUACUAUACUCUGUUUGAAAAGUACCGGUUCGCAAUUUUUUUUUUUUACAGGCAUGACGGCGCCUUGCCGUCACAUUGUGACAUUGCUGGUUUUACAAGCGGAGGAGCAUGUUCGGCAGCGCACACACACUGAGUACUUACAAGCAGACACAGUUUGUAGACAAAAAAGGGAGAAUGGACGUAUUUUGGCUUAAAAUUCAAAAAUAAAAGUGAAGUUAUAACACUGAAACUUCCUUGGGAAGAGGUGCUUUUGGACGAUGCUAGCUCGCUAGCGGCUAAUGUCCAUCUGCAAUUGGCCGUGUUUUAGCUUCUUCUAAAUCACUAAUCCUCGUCUCCACGGCGACAAAUAAAGUACGUUUCUUACAAGUAUCAUCCCUGCAGGACGAGAAAUAGCUAAACAUGCUUCACUACACACUGUAGGAGGAUACAAUAGCUCACUGGCGUCACAAUGUAAACAAAUGCCAUGGGUGGAUCUACACCUGACAUCCACUGUAAUAACACCAAGUACAAGAGCGUAUGUAGUUGAUAUUACUAUGAUUACGUUGAUAUUUUUUUAUAUCGUUACUCAAUCUUUUUUCUUUUAAAAAAAAAAAUGUAUAUUGUAUUCUUAAACUCAGUAAUUACGUUCCUGGACACAUGAGGACUUACAAUACGACCAAUGUAUGAUCCUGUAACUACUUGGUAUCGGAUCAAUA